CAGGGGGAAAACAGUGGUUUUCAAAGGGAAAAUGUUUAUGUGUGUGUGUGUGUGUGUGUGUGUGUGUGUGUGUGUGUACACACAUACAUACGUAUGUGGUCAUGUAUUCUUAGGAGGACACGUUUUGAGAAAUGCAUCAUUAGAUGGUUUUGGUGUUCUGUGACCCUUAUAGAGCACUUGGACAAGCCUGGAUGGCCUAGGUCCAUCACCUGACACACCUUCCUGAUGCCAUCAAGACAGGAGGUAAACGGGAGAUGUGUGAGCUGCUCCAGUGUGACAUGUCGUACUGCUCUCCAGAAUACGUGCUAAAAUGAUGGGAUACCAGUAUCACAGCUGCUUAUUAUCGAGUGUCAUAUACUGUGCAGACGUGUUUAUGUUACACUUUUAUAUAACUGGCAGCAACACCAACACCAACACACACAUUGCAUCAUCUGCGAACCAGAA
rnacentral:lncRNA from 1 species